AGGCUUGUGGGGGCCAUUGGGCAAGGAGGAAAUGCCUUGCACUUAAGCCGCCCGGUAUGUGAAAGAAGCAGGGUGUUAUUCCAACUCUUGUGGGCCUUGAGAGACUGCAUCUGUCACCGUAGAUGGUGACACGUGGCAUGAUCUGAGGGCACAUGAGUUGUUGCGAGGGAUGCAGCCUGCUAACACCUUUGGCCAGCAGCCGCGGUAAUUCCAGCUCCAAUAGCGUAUAUUUAAGUUGUUGCAGUUAAAAAGCUCGUAGUUGGAUUUUGGGUUGGGGCAGCCGGUCCGCCUCACGGUGUGCACCGGCUGACCCAUCCUUCUUGCCGGGGACGCGCUCCUGGCCUUAACUGGUCGGGACGUGGAGUCGGCGAUGUUACUUUGAAAAAAUUAGAGUGUUCAAAGCAGGCCUACGCUCUGAAUACAUUAGCAUGGAAUAACGUGAUAGGACUCUGGUCCUAUUGUGUUGGUCUUCGGGACCGGAGUAAUGAUUAAUAGGGACAGUUGGGGAUAUUCGUAUUUCAUUGUCAGAGGUGAAAUUCUUGGAUUUAUGAA
rnacentral:ncRNA from 1 species